rnacentral:rRNA from 1 species
UGAGUAACCUGCCCCAAACUCUGGGAUAAGCACUGGAAACGGUGUCUAAUACCGGAUAUGAACUUCAGCCGCAUGGCUAGGAGUUGGAAAGAAUUUCGGUUUGGGAUGGAUUCGCGGCCUAUCAGCUAGUUGGUGAGGUAAUGGCUCACCAAGGCGACGACGGGUAGCCGGCCUGAGAGGGUGACCGGCCACACUGGGACUGAGACACGGCCCAGACUCCUACGGGAGGCAG